rnacentral:miRNA from 1 species
GACUUGAAUGACUUAGAUUAUUGCACUUCACUUGGUGGAAUUAAUAUUAGGAUGCUAUGGUUUGUUCUCACUUGGAUUACAAACCUUAACAUCCUAAUAUUAAUUCCACCAAGUGAAGUGCAAUAAUCUAAGUCAUUCAAGUC